UCUUGGACAGUUUAAAGUGGGCCUCUGUUCCUGUAAAGUAGAUUGUGGUAAGGACCCGACACGCACACUGGAUUUCAUUCACUAUAGGUUAGUUUUAUUUUCGUUCUGAUGUUCCAGCAUCAGUCACACAGGAACAGCUGCUUCUUCCUCCCAGUCUCCGUCCCCGUCAUCACUAUUUAAAAAUAGAUUCUUUAUUUAUUCAUUUCUUUUAUUUUCUUUCAUUUUCUCUUAAGCUCAAAGGCUGUUUUUAUUUCCACAGUGAUGGCAGCAGCAGCGUUCAGGAGCAGAGGACUGGCUGGUGUCAGAAACACCAACGUUUUAAUCCUCAUCUUUCUGCUGUCCCUGGUUUAUGUCACAAAUUCACUGAUGAAAAUUCAUUGAGAGUAACAAACUAGAGACUACAUCCAAAUAUGCCUUCAGAGGACUCAGGGACCUGACUCACUUGUCUUUGGCAAACAAUAACAUUAAAGCCUUGCCCAGGGACCUCCUCAUUGACCUUGACUCCCUUAUAGAGCUGGACCUGCGAGGCAAUGCCUUUGAAUGUGACUGCAGAGCCAAGUGGCUUAUGACGUGGUUAAAGAACACCAAUGCCACAGUGUCGGAUGUUGUGUGUGCUGGACCAGAGGACAUGAAGGGCAAGCGCCUCAAUGAUAUGACCAGCCUGCAGAAUGAGUGUGUCUCCACAGAUUUCAUCCUUCAUCAGUCUGUUGCCUCAGAAUCGUUGUCUGUUGACACAUUCAGCUAUAAGAAUGAUGUCUACGUGGCCAUUUCUGCUCCCAGCACAGAGAGCUGUAUGAUUUUCCAGUGGACCACAUAGAAAUG